rnacentral:misc_RNA from 1 species
GAGGGGGAGAGAGAGAGAGAGAGAGAGAAAGACAAGGCGAGACAGAGAGAGGUUGGGUGUUCUCGCUGAGAAGUAGUUUCGAUUUCGCGAGAGAUCUAAGUCGCGAGGAUGGAUUUCAACGUGAAGAGGCUGAUGAAGGAUGCGGGGGCCGCCCUCAGUAGGGUCGUGCAGAAGACGGAGGAGACGCUGGGUACUUCAGAAAAGACAGAAUUAGAUGCGCACUUGGAGCACCUAGUGGAGAGGGGGAAUGCCACAAAAACGUGGACGGAGAAGAUACUACGAGAUAUGGAAGCUGUGCUCACUCCAAAUCCUGGUAACAGGAUCGAAGACUUCUUUUAUGAAAAGAUCGAUAAGAAGAAGCCUAAUAGGUUGAGCAAUUUGGAAUAUGUAGGCACCGACAUGAUAGAAGCUGGAAAUGAUUUCGGUCCAGGAAUAGCCUAUGGUAGCGCGUUAAUAAAAGUCGGCCAGUGCCAGCAGAAAUUGGGACAGAUCGAAAGGGACUUUAUAGGAACUGCCGCCAAUUGUUAUAUACAGCCUCUGAGGAAAUUUUUGGAUGGAGAGAUGAAGACUGUUAGUAAGGAGAUGGCGAUAUUGGAAACUAAGAGAUUGGAUCUGGACGCGUGUAAAAAUAGAGUAAGAAAAGCGAGGAGCAUGCUGGGCCAACAGAGUGAGUCCGGCAUAUCACCCGAAGUAAUGCUCGAUCAGGCAGAGAGGGAGCUAAGGACGACGCAAUCGGAGUUUGAUCGACAAGCGGAAAUCGUGAAAUUGCUGUUAGAGGGUGUUUCAAGCUCGCAAGCUGGACAUUUGCGGUGCCUGCACGAAUUCGUGGAAGCGCAGGCACGUCAUUACGCGCAAUGCCAUGCCGUCAUGCAGGAUCUACAGCGCGAACUUGCCGGGGCGCGACAACCGAGCCCUUUGCUGAGAGUCAACAGCGAGGAAGUGAUCGAGCUAAACCCCCCGUCCACUGUCCCUCAAAAUUCAACCGUAACCGCCGGAUCUGCUGAUUAUGUUACCGCCACGUUCGACACUGACAUCAGUAAAAUUUAGUUUUCAACUCUCCGAACGCGAUCGGAUUGUCAUGAAUUUCGGAUCGAGUUGGCAGUUCAAUUGACGGAUCUACAAUCACACACUAUCUGGGGGUUCCUAUUACACCACCCCACCAGCCACCACCAACGCACUAGCCGAGAACGGUCAGGAUAGAGC